UCACUAAGCUGAUCGUAAUUAAGUCACUAAGGUGACCUUAGUCCAAUGUUAAAGAAUGGGAGUUAAGGUUAACCUUAGUAAAGGUUGCUUCGUGAAAGGAGCCC